rnacentral:rRNA from 1 species
UGGUCAAGUUAUUAAGGGUGCAGGGCGGAUGCCUUGGCACUAGGAGCCGAUGAAGGACGUGAUAAGCUGCGAUAAGCUUCGGGGAGUUGCACGUAAACUUUGAUCCGAAGAUUUCCGAAUGAGGAAACUCACUUAGAGUAAUGUCUAAGUAUCAUUAAGUGAAUACAUAGCUUAAUGAGGGGAACUCAGGGAACUGAAACAUCUAAGUACCUGAAGGAAGAGAAAGAAAUUCGAUUCCGUAAGUAGCGGCGAGCGAACGCGGAUUAGCCCAAACCAAUAAAGUUUUCUUUAUUGGGGUUGCGGACAUAUCAUAACGAAGAGGUAUCGUAAUUGAAGAGGUUUGGAAAGACCCACCACAGAAGGUAAUAGUCCUGUAUGUUAAACGAGAAGACUUUAGAUAUGAUCCAGAGUACCACGGGACACGUGAAACCCUGUGGGAAGCAGGAGGGACCACCCUCCAAGGCUAAAUACUACCUAGUGACCGAUAGCGUAUAGUACCGUGAGGGAAAGGUGAAAAGAACCCCGGGAGGGGAGUGAAAUAGAACCUGAAACCCUGCACUUACAAGCUGUGGAAGCACAUUUCUUGUGUGACCGCGUACUUUUUGUAGAACGGGCCAACGAGUUACGUUAAGUAGCAAGGUUAAGCACUUAAGGUGUGGAGCCGUAGCGAAAGCGAGUUUUAACUGAGCGUUCAGUUACUUGGCGUAGACCCGAAACCGGGCGACCUACCCAUGAGCAGGAUGAAGCGAAAGUAAAAUUUCGUGGAGGUCCGAACCCACGAGCGUUGAAAAGCUCGGGGAUGACUUGUGGGUAGCGGUGAAAUUCCAAUCGAGCCCGGAGAUAGCUGGUUCUCCCCGAAAUAACUUUAGGGCUAGCCUCAAGGUGAGAGAUACGGAGGUAGAGCACUGAAUGUCCUAGGGGGUAUUGCACCUACCGAAGACUAUCAAACUCCGAAUGCCGUCAUCUUAUACUUGGGAGUCAGACUGUGGGUGAUAAGAUUCAUAGUCGAAAGGGCAACAGCCCAGAUCGUCAGCUAAGGUCCCUAAAUGUAAGUUAAGUGGUAAAGGAUGUGGGAUUGCACAGACAACCAGGAUGUUGGCUUAGAAGCAGCCACUCAUUCAAAGAGUGCGUAAUAGCUCACUGGUCGAGUGAUCCUGCGCCGAAGAUUUCCGGGGCUAAAACUUACUACCGAAGCUACGGCAUCAGUAAUGAUGGGUAGGGGAGCUUCCCAUACGGGUUGAAGCAUGACCGUAAGGACAUGUGGACAGUAUGGGAGUGAGAAUGUUGGCAUGAGUAGCGAGAUGUGGGUGAGAAUCCCACAGGCCGUAAACCCAAGGUUUCCAGGGGAAGGUUCGUCCGCCCUGGGUUAGUCGGGACCUAAGCUGAGGCCGAAAGGCGUAGGUGAUGGACAACAGGUUGAUAUUCCUGUACUACCGAUAACCGUUUGAGAGAAGGGAUGACACAGUAGGAUAAGCUAAGCACACUGUUGGUUAUGUGUGCCCAAGCAUUGAGGCAGUCAAAGUAGGCAAAUCCGCUUUGAUAAUGCUGGGAUGUGAUGGGGAGCGAAAUUUAGUAGCGAAGUAGCUGAUUUCACACUGUCAAGAAAAGUCUCUAUCGAGGUUAAAGGUACCCGUACCGCAAACCGACACAGGUGGGUGAGGAGAGUAUCCUAAGGCCAGCGAGAGAACUGUUGUUAAGGAACUCGGCAAAAUGACCCCGUAACUUAGGGAUAAGGGGUGCCACCAUCAGGUGGCCGCAGAGAAUAGGCCCAAGCGACUGUUUACCAAAAACAUAGGUUUCUGCUAAGUCGCAAGACGAUGUAUAGGAGCUGACGCCUGCCCGGUGCUGGAAGGUUAAGGGGAUCUGUUAGAGCAAUCGAAGCAGUGAACUUAAGCCCCAGUAAACGGCGGCCGUAACUAUAACGGUCCUAAGGUAGCGAAAUUCCUUGUCGGGUAAGUUCCGACCCGCACGAAAGGCGUAACGAUUUGGGCACUGUCUCAACAACAGACUCGGUGAAAUUGUAAUUCCGGUGAAGAUGCCGGAUACCUGCGACAGGACGGAAAGACCCCAUGGAGCUUUACUGUAGCUUGACAUUGGGUCUUGGUACUACAUGUACAGGAUAGGUGGGAGGCUUUGAAACCAGGACGCCAGUUUUGGCGGAGCCAUCCUUGGGAUACCACCCUUGUAGUACUGGGACUCUAACCAUAGGCCAUGAAUCUGGUCUUGGGACACUGUCAGGUGGGCAGUUUGACUGGGGCGGUCGCCUCCCAAAAGGUAACGGAGGCGCUCAAAGGUUCUCUCAGUACGGUCGGAAAUCGUACGUAGAGUGUAAAGGCAAAAGAGAGCUUGAUUGCAAGACAUACAGGUCGAGCAAGGAUGAAAAUCGGACUUAGUGAUCCGGUGGUUCUGCGUGGAAGGGCCAUCGCUCAACGGAUAAAAGCUACCCUGGGGAUAACAGGCUUAUCUCCCCCAAGAGUCCACAUCGACGGGGAGGUUUGGCACCUCGAUGUCGGCUCAUCACAUCCUGGGGCUGUAGUAGGUCCCAAGGGUUGGGCUGUUCGCCCAUUAAAGUGGUACGCGAGCUGGGUUCAGAACGUCGUGAGACAGUUCGGUCCCUAUCCGUCGCAGGCGUAGGAAAUUUGAGAAGACCUGUCCUUAGUACGAGAGGACCGGGAUGGACGUACCUCUGGUGUACCAGUUGUCCUGCCAAGGGCAUGGCUGGGUAGCUAUGUACGGAAUGGAUAAGCGCUGAAAGCAUCUAAGCGCGAAGCCAACUUCAAGAUAAGAUUUCCCACCGCAAGGGUAAGACCCCAGAAAGACUAUCUGGUUGAUAGGUCGAAGGUGUAAGUUCAGCAAUGUAUUUAGCUUAUCGAUACUAAUAGGUCGAGGACUUGACCAAU